UACAGAGGGUGCGAGCGUUUAAUCGGAAUUACUGGGCGUAAAGCGUGCGUAGACGGUUAUUUAAGUCGGGUGUGAAAGCCCCGGGCUCAACCUGGGAACCGCGCUUGAGACUGGCAUGCUCGAGUUCGGGAGAGGAUGGUGGAAUUCCCAGUGUAGAGGUGAAAUUCGUAGAUAUUUGGGGAAGAACACCGAUGGCGAAGGGCAGCCAUCUGGACCGACACUGACGCUGAGGCGCGAAAGCGUGGGGAGCAAACAGG
rnacentral:rRNA from 1 species